GUACCUGUAGCUCAAUUGGAUAGAGCUUUGGUUUGCGGAACCAACGGUUGUCGGUUCGAUCCCGGCCAGGUACG
rnacentral:tRNA from 1 species